rfam:Homo sapiens chromosome 14, GRCh38 reference primary assembly.
GCCAGGCAUGGUGGCUUAUGCCUGUAAUCCCAGCAUUUUGGGAGGCUGAGAUGGGAGAAUUGCUUGAGGUCAGGAGUUUGAGACCAGCCUGGCCAACACAGCAAGACCCCGUCUCUA